UUUAAACUUUGCUAACAAUAUGCGUGCACUUGCCAGAGAGGUGCAUUCAAUACUUCCCUACUUGAGGGGAUCGCAUAUACUAAAUUAAAAUGCAGUGAUCACAUAACAGAUUAUAAAUUGUUUUCUUAAUUUACACACACUGUACACCUGCUUUCCCAAAUCGGCAUUACCAUAUCACCGUAUAUCCAACCUUUAGGCGCAACAGGCAACCUACAAUUGGAGUGAUGGUUCAGUAAGAAAGAACAUUUAGCACAAAGAAAGAUGAAUUUUGAAAAAAAAAACUUGCAGUGAACACAGAAAAAAUCGAUGCUCGACUGACUACUAAUACCAUCUCAAAAUAUGCAAGAUGCAAGAUGCUUGACUGACUACUAAUACCAUCCAAAAAUCAAUGCUCAACUGACUACUAAUACCAUCUAAAAAUAAGAGGUCAAACCAAUCAAGUGAAAGACUUUUGAACUGGAAUUAGACACAUUGUACAUCAUCAAUCAUUAGGAGCUGGACCCCAUAGAAUCUUUUCGGCUUCGGUUGUAUGAUUAGAAUUUGGCUUCAAACUAACUAAACUAAAGAGUUUUUUUCCUUGUCCACUCUUUUGUUGCUAAAUUAUGAUCCAUAAAGUUAUAGUGCAUCUUGGAAAGGUUAUAAUAGUUUUGGUUACAGGGUUGAUGAUAUAUCUAUGGAUAUUAUGUUGACUGAUAGCCCAUGGUUCAUCUGAGCUCACUUUGGCGCGAAUGCGGUGAUGAAGGUUCGACCUGCAGUUUCAGAUUUCCCUUGACUCAUUCAGUGCAGCUUCCUUCGUGACGUAUGCCACAUGCUAAUAUCAACUUUCUCAUUGUAUAUAAAUUUUCAGGAGAAAAAAGGAAAAAGUUGAUACGGUUUUCCUUGCAGCUCAAUUUUCACACCCUUCCCAGGUUAAUAUUCACUGCUUUCUUUGGACCAACUUUAUGCUGCCUUUUCUCUGCACACACCUCAUCAAAACUGAACCAAGAGGCAUCACAUAGGUUUAGAUGGCGCGUGUGAACAUGGUUUAAGAUAUGAUAUUUCUUGGAGAGAGCAAACUAACCCUUUCAAUUUCACGAUCUAUUAACUAAAAUAUUGAUCGACGGCACAUUCUGAUGCUUCAACUUUGUUUUUGCCUUAUUGUCACUUAAUUAGGUAAUAUAGUAAGAAAGAAUACUGAAUGAGACUCGAAGGAAUUUUGAUGUCAACUCGUGAUUAGCAGAACUUAAAAUGAUCUCUUUAGACAAGUAUCAGAUUAAAGAAACCAAUAUAGAACCUUAUUAAAUAGGGACUUAGCUGGAAGGUGAGAAAGAAAUUACAAUUGCUAUUGGUGCAACAAUACAAAAUUUAGCUUAGCUAUCUAUCAGAUUUCUUGACUCAAAUUCCAGCUAGCAAAGACGAAGAUUGAAUCCCCAAAAAUCCAUGCUAAACCAAAUAUAGACUUGUUGAUUUACCUCAAUUGAAUUAUUUAUAAAACAUUAUACAUGAACUUGUUUUAAAUACAUGACAAAAUCUAGCUGAGCUAAACCUUCCUGGAAUCUUAUGUGGAUUUUUAGAGUUUAGACCAAGGAGAAAUGGGGAAAUAAUUCGGGACAGAGGGUAGUGCACACGGGAGCCUCAGAAUAGCGGGUAGCCUAGCGAUGUUUAUAGGAAAAAGGUGGCUUUUGUCUCAUCAGUGAGUUUGUUGCCCAAUGCCCGUGCUACUGAUAUAAUGUCGUUCAUGACAUACCUCGCCCAGUUCAAAUUCGGGAUGUCAUCCAAAUUUUAUGAGAGCCACAAAAUAUGUUGGAAGAAUAACUACGGAUCAAAUGGACCUCGAACUUUAUCUCACCGUGAACACCACAUCAAUCACAUUCUAACAGGAGGCCUCAGCCAUCGCCAAGGCAUCUCAUGGAACAUGGGGGAAACUCCAAAUCGAACAGAGCAACACAAAAAUAGGAAUCAGGCAUGAGGAAAGGGGAAUAAGCUAACCUGGGUAAUGGGAUCAGCAGGCCCAGGAGGGUGCCACCAUGCCAGUGGCCUCCACAAGAAUAAUCUUGCACACGAUGUCGCCUCAAGCAAUGGAUCGCCAACACCAGAACCGAAGCACUUGUUGUUCAUGGUUUCAGUUAUGAGAUAUCCCGUGAACUGAGGUACAAAUCACAAAUAGGUCAGCUCAUGAGCUAAAGAAUAUAAUCUUAUCCAAGAAAAGAUAAAAUAGUUCGCAGCAACAAAGCUUUAUUAAGUUCUUUACUAAGAAAGCUAACUUAGAAAUUACAGCCCAAACAGAGAAUAAAUGGUUUAGAACAGGCAUAAAUCUGAUCCAUCUUCCAUCAUCAAUAAUAAAAACAGGAAAUCUUGAAAUCCUUGAUCCAAACAUCAUAAGUCACAAAAGUCGAAGCAAACAGUGAACUGAAAAUUACUCUGAAAAAAACUUUUCUUUUGUUGACUCUAAACGAAGCCCAUGCCCUGUUACUCCAUUCUUUUGUUGACUCUAAAUGAAGCGUGAUUUAUAUGUUCGAUUACAGCCAUGACUUGGCGAUAUUCUAAAGAAUAUAACUAUAAGACCAGAGAUAGAAAACUAACAGAGAAUGCUGAGAAUAGAGAACACCUGUAAUAUAGUAAUGGUACAAAAAUUUGGUCGUAAGGUUGUGUGUGGCCGACAAGGGUGGCUCAGGGAGCGCACCAUGCAGCAGCGUGCGAGCGCUGCGGAAGAUGGGGAUGGGAGGGAGGCGUUUGCGUGCGCAUUUGGUGAUCAAAUGGCUCAGGAGGGGACCGAUCUUGGGAUAGGAUCAGUCAACCAACAUGUAGUAGUGACCUGACCGGAAAGGUAGGAUUUGCAUGAGCAGGUCAACAGAGAAUUAUAAUGUCAGCAUAUAGCAAUAAAACCAAUGAGCACUAUCAAGUUACCAAAAAGAGGGCGUUUACCGACAGCUUACCGUUAAUUUGCAGUCGUACCACUCAGUUAAAAUUAAGAAUAACCACACCUCAUUCAAUUAUGAUUCAAACAACAUGAACAAUUAUCCGUGAAGUUCAUUUCUAAACUACGCGCUUAUUAAGAUAGGUGUUUACCGGUAAUAGGGUAAAAUGAUACAUAAGUUUUAACUUCAGGAUAGGUAUUUACUGUAUUUUUCAGAGAUGGACAUGCGGGUCACCCCAUUAACUCAACAAGUAGAUAUAUUAGCUAGCUAUUGGUGUUCUCAGAAACCAUAAAUAGUUUAAACCGAAUUAUGUGUGCUUGUGCAGAUAGUAUAGAUGUAUGAUGGAUUCCUAGUUGCCGUGAUCAAUGAUCAAGGAGAUGCUUCUACAUGCAUACGCAUAGAACUAAGCAUUCAUUCUUCUCCUUGAUUCUAUUCUCCUGUUAAGCUCUCAAAUUUCUACACAUUUAUGAUAGAAAAAUGUGAUACUACAACUGCAGUUUAUAUUGCUGUAUUUAUAUGCUUCCAUACACAUGCUAUGAAGCACGAAACAUGACAAGGAAAAUACAAAGGAUAGCCUAAAGCAAAACAAUGGGGUUAACUAAAAUUUACCUAUUCUAAACUUGUUUCUUUCUGAACAGAGCAUCAACUCAAACCACAUAUAGCAGUGAAGCAACAAUGAUAUUUUCUCUAAAAAUCCAACACAGUGCCACAGACAGCACACAACACACUUAAGUACAAAAAAUCAUCAUUUUCCUUUGAAAGGGAGGGCGUUGGUUGGGUAAUGUGUACCAAAAAAUCAUGCCAAAUUUGAACGAAAGCCUGGGCAACCACUGAGACAUAAAGGAGUCAGAGGGGAGGUAAGGAGGAUUGGGAGUAGGUCAUCUAUGCAAGGAAGAUCACGGGGACCAAAAUCCUACAUGAGACUGAAAUGGAAAGGUUGCCCAAGGCAGACAAGAAUCAUCGGAAUCAUUUUCGAAUCUAAAAAUGGAAUAUAGACAGCAGUGACGAUAGUAGUAGAUGCAGAAUUAUGCUUAAGAGCACAACUGAAAUCUAUAUAACCGUCGUAUUCAUGUGCAGACAUAUCUUCAUCACAUCAUCGUUUUCCAAGUAUAGUUAAUAAGAAAUCCGAUUCACAUAUGUCCUGGUCAUCCCAUUUAUGCUGAAUAUAUUCAAGGCACUUCUGUAACAAUUUUUUUUAAAUACCCACUGUUAUCUAAUAUCUAGUAAACUGGGUACAAAAGACGGAGGCAAGAAGCCCAUGUUCUCUCAGAUCGAGUAUAUCCCUGUCCUGAAUGGUGUAUCCAAGGUUCCCCAUGUCAUGUUUAAGUACGAAUCACUUGUUUAUUGUGACAUGGACCACUGAUAUCUGAAAUAUAUGAAAAGACCCAUCAGGGCCCAGGAAAAAUAUGCCCUCCUAAAAGUAAAAGAAUGUCCCUGCUAUUUAAAAGAAGAUUGGCACUAAUAAGAGGCUAAGGAGAAGCAAAAUAAGCAAAGUAAAUGUCUGAAAAAUAAGAGGAGAGCAUCUUCGACAUUACCUAGAUACAUUCAGAAAAUCAAAAGCACCUGAACUAACAACUAAAACAGUGCCCUGAAAUAGAAUCCCAGACAUGAAGCUAUAAGCAUAAAUAACAACCAACGCAAAAUCAAAAGAAAUAAAAAUAUGUGCAUCACAAAAUACUAUUAGGAGAUCAGGUCUACUGUACAAAUAUGAGGCAGCUGCCAUACAAUCUCUAGAUGCGAAACAGCUGCAUUCAUAACUAUAUAUGCAUUAGCAAGAUAAAUCACUCUACCGAUUUGUAAGCAGCAAACCAGCUCAAAUGUAGUCAUCAUCAGUAACUCUUGCUUCGAUAAUAACAGCCAACCACCAUGUAUAUCCAUCCAUGAUACAUAAAGGGGGAGAAGUAAAUUACGUUGAAUGAGAAUUAAUUAAUUGCCACGCGGCUGCAGCUGCCAAACAUGCCACGGUUAAAUACAUGGAUUUUGUCAGGGAUCUGGGUACAUGAAAAUAGACAAAGUAACAAAUCAAUUAGAAGGAGCCAAAACAAGCAGAGGUGGUCAGUGAGAAUACCCGCAGGCGCCCCAACAGGCUAUAGACACCAUGUCACCGUGACAUGAGCCGAGACAUGGUGCCUAACAUGAGCCGAGACAGGCCGGCGAAACUGUAACAUGACGUGCAACAUGUAAGAAAGUAAGCAUCCAGGGAAGAUAGGCUGGCAGGCCAAGCAACUAAAUUAGAACACAUACACCCAUUUCUUGCACAGAGCAGUGCUUGUAAUCCCUUUAUUUAUUUUCAUUAACAAAGUGAGAAUGCAGGGUUAUUUUUUCAUUAAAAAAUGUGAGAAUGCAGGGCGGAGAAGGAUGAGGAAGCAACGAUAGAAAGCUCUAUUACCUCACACGGCCAUUCGAACUAAUCACCAGGAGACAAAAGAACAUAUUAGGCUCUAGGAAUUAACACAACCUCUAUUGCUUUGUUCAUACACACUCAAUUCUGAAAAAGGAAAACAUAAGCUUCAGGAGCAAACAAAUAGAAUAUGAAAACUGUAUAUAUAUACAGAGAAAACAAAAAUAGGAACGCAAACUGUCAUAUUACUCCCAGGUGUGAAGAGCCAAAGCUAUUUUCAAGCAGUAUUAUAAGCUAGCUCUAGAUUUUACUCCAUAGUAAACAGAAUAGUUUUGUAAGGUAGCUCUAGAUUUUAUACGAUUCAAAAAAGCAGCAGAUGGACACAUGAUUGUACAACUGAUGCAUAGUCACCCUCUUCUUGGAAUAGCCCACGGCUUAUACAUAUAGAUGAAAAUUUCAUCCAAACAUGCCAGUGUUUUUAGGCCAUUAAAUGGAAAGUGAUGCAUUUUUUGUUUGUCAAGUCCCUAUUGACCCACAGGGCAAACAGUGGUGUUUUACCAGGCCAACUAUUUUCAAAAUUUCACUAAACAGAACCCAACACCCAAAAGUAAUAGAGGGACGUUCUCCUCAUUAGCAUACAGACUGCACAGAGGUGAGCUAUAUGGACUCUACAACCAGCAGCAAGUGCAAGAUGUGUAGUGUGUAUGCCUAGUUGCCUACCAAGUUCUACUUCAUUCUACUGGUCAGAACUCUCUAAGGCGUCCGCCUUGCCUUAUGCCUUAC
rnacentral:lncRNA from 1 species